AGUGAACGCUGGCGGUAGGCCUAACACAUGCAAGUCGAACGGCAGCACAGUAAGAGCUUGCUCUUACGGGUGGCGAGUGGCGGACGGGUGAGGAAUACAUCGGAAUCUACUUUUUCGUGGGGGAUAACGUAGGGAAACUUACGCUAAUACCGCAUACGACCUACGGGUGAAAGCAGGGGAUCUUCGGACCUUGCGCGAUUGAAUGAGCCGAUGUCGGAUUAGCUAGUUGGCGGGGUAAAGGCCCACCAAGGCGACGAUCCGUAGCUGGUCUGAGAGGAUGAUCGGCCACACUGGAACUGAGACACGGUCCAGACUCCUACGGGAGGCAGCAGUGGGGAAUAUUGGACAAUGGGCGCAAGCCUGAUCCGGCCAUACCGCGUGGGUGAAGAAGGCCUUCGGGUUGUAAAGCCCUUUUGUUGGGAAGGAAAAGCAGCAGGUUAAUACCCCGCUGUUCUGACGGUACCCAAAGAAUAAGCACCGGCUAACUUCGUG
rnacentral:rRNA from 1 species